GUCAGGAACCCAAUCCCCUCAAGGGGAUGGGCUUGUUUCGGCAAGCUCACCUGUCCAGACGUAGCUAGCUUGCUAGCUACGUUCAGAGCGAAAUGAGGUACCCUGAGUUUCGUUUUUCUCGUCGAUACC
rnacentral:sRNA from 24 species